UACGUAGGAGGCAAGCGUUUGUCCGGAAUUACUGGGCGUAAAGCGCGUGUAGGUGGUGGGACAAGUCUGCUGUGAAAGCGCCUGGCUUAACCGGGCGAGGUCGGCGGAAACUGUCCGACUCGAGGACGGUAGAGGGGGGUGGAAUUCCCGGUGUAGCGGUGAAAUGCGUAGAGAUCGGGAAGAACACCAGUGGCGAAAGCGCUCUGCUGGACUGCAACUGACACUGAGGGACGAAAGCUAGGGGAGCGAAAGGG
rnacentral:rRNA from 1 species